ACUGUGGCUCAGUUGGUAGAGCAGCUGAUUCGUAAUCAGCAGGCCGCCGGUUCAAGUCCGGCCAGU
rnacentral:tRNA from 2 species